GACGAAGGUGGCGAGCGUUGUUCGGAAUCACUGGGCAUAAAGCGCACGAGGCGGCGUGUCGCGUCGGGAGUGAAAGCCCGCUGCUUAACGGCGGGUUGGCUUCCGGUACGGGCAUCGCUGGAGUGCGGCAGGGGAGACUGGAAUUCCUGGUGAUAGCGGUGGAAUGCGCAGAUAUCAGGAGGGAACACCGGUGGGCGGAAGGCGGGUCUCCUGGGCCGUUACUGAC
rnacentral:rRNA from 1 species